GGUGGGGUUGAGGGGAAGGCUGUAGAGAGAGAGAGGUGUAGGUUGAGGUGCGGAUGUAGGGUUGGUUAUUUCCACACCAAAGUCGUCAUCCUCUUUCUCAGUCCUAUACUUCUUUGCUGUAUAAGAUGAGUUUGGGUUAUAUUACUCAGAAACGGGAUUUUUUUUUUUCAAUAAGAGAGUGAAAAUCCCUAGCCUAAAGAUUUUCAGGUGAACUAUAUGCUCGCGCACCCUCAUCCAGUGGAACCUUUAACUGAUAGCUGCAGGUUUAUCCUAAUUCUCACUAAAUUGGAGCGUAUCUUUCUUGGACUCCUCAUGUUAAAACAUCAUGCGCCUACAUUACACUCAGUAAGAUUCCAUUAUAUUAAGUUUAUUGAACUUCCAGGCAGUGUGAUGGUGAGAUAUUUUUAAAUUCGUUCCAAUCAUAGUAAAGGGUAGCAUACUUUUUGUCCCGUGGUUCA